AUACACAAACAUGAACGCAAAAGGGCUCUGUCACCAAGAGAGUUAGAGAGAAAAUUGAGAGGAAUUAGCCACGAAGUUCAUCGGACCACCGUCGAAAUCCACCUUCAGACGAGACUUAUACAAGGACUGAGAGGCUAGAGAGGCCGACACUCCGUCAAGAUCCAAGAACGUUUCGCGAGGAACAACUCUACGCACGAUCUGUGGAGGGUUUGGUCGAGAUCUCAACCCGAAGGAGGAGAUCCGAGAAUCGUUCGAGAACGGGAUCCAAUUUAAGGAAAUCAGUAUUUUUGGACACCUCACGGGCAAAGAAACGCUAGCAAAAAGGCACGCUAGCAAAAAGACACGCAUCAACUAGGUGCUUGAUGGAUAAGUUCGCCCCAGUAACGAUACACCUUCCCAGGAGAGAAAGAGAGAAAAAAAAAAACGAAACCACCAAAAAUCUCGCGAUUUUCGGCGGGAUCCACUUAGACUCCCUUAAACCCUAGGAGUGGCCGCCUCCUUUAGCAGAAGGGACGUCAGUGUGCUUCGGAGUAAGGGAAGGCAGACUCACCACCGGAGAACGAACGAACGACGACACUUCCACCGGCGACAGCAGCCAAACUCUGAUACCGCGAGGAAGAAGAAGAAGACGAAGACUUUCGGACGAGGAAGACGAAGCGGCAGACGUGGGUCGGCCCUCGACAUUUCGCGAGUUGUCUCGGCCAGCGUGCAACCUGAACCUCGCAGGCCGCACUCGGACACCAUCCUUAGGCCUCGUUCCCUUUCGGCCCAAACUGGAGGCGCGCCCAGAGACCCUGCGCUGACAGUGUUCGUCACAGCCAUCGGUUUCAGCUCCAUCGGCGGCUCCACGCACUCCCGGCUCGGCUAGGUUUGGCCAGACGGGGCGGCUUGGCGGCUCGACAUCCGAAUAGUAUACCGAUUCCUAUGUUUUUGACCCUUCUGGAGCCAUUCCCACCCUUGUUUCAACCAUCUGAGGAGGUAGUUAGGAGCUGGAGUUAGCGUUGUGGGUGACUUCGGUCAAGGCCAAGGAGGUAAGUAACCUUACUGUUGGCGUUAGUUAUGUAUGUAUGUUGGUGUGUGCCCUGUGGCCCUUGCACGCACCAUGUGUGUUGCUGAUGUAUGCUAGGUUAGGUGUUUCUUGCAGUGAAGUGUUAUGUAUGCCAUAUUUAUGUAUGUGAUUCUUGCAGUAAAAUGCUAUGUAUGCCAUGUUUAUGUAUAUGACGUCUAUGACACGAUUUGCUACCCUGUAUGUAUGAGUUUGAUUGACAUGUCAUGAAUGUAAUGAGAACCCCGCAUGCCAUGAAUGAGAUGACUGGUAGGCUAUGAUAGGCUUGCUCGAUGUUGACCCAGUGAUG